rnacentral:rRNA from 1 species
GAUGAACGCUGGCGGCGUGCCUAAUACAUGCAAGUCGAGCGAACAGACGAGGAGCUUGCUCCUCUGACGUUAGCGGCGGACGGGUGAGUAACACGUGGAUAACCUACCUAUAAGACUGGGAUAACUUCGGGAAACCGGAGCUAAUACCGGAUAAUAUGUUGAACCGCAUGGUUCAAUAGUGAAGGACGGUUUUGCUGUCACUUAUAGAUGGAUCCGCGCCGCAUUAGCUAGUUGGUAAGGUAACGGCUUACCAAGGCGACGAUGCGUAGCCGACCUGAGAGGGUGAUCGGCCACACUGGAACUGAGACACGGUCCAGACUCCUACGGGAGGCAGCAGUAGGGAAUCUUCCGCAAUGGGCGAAAGCCUGACGGAGCAACGCCGCGUGAGUGAUGAAGGUCUUCGGAUCGUAAAACUCUGUUAUUAGGGAAGAACAAAUGUGUAAGUAACUAUGCACGUCUUGACGGUACCUAAUCAGAAAGCCACGGCUAACUACGUG